UCAGCUGCAGUAUUAUAUUGUAAUAUAACCAAUGUGUUAUUGGUCGGUGUCUUGAGGAGUUUAGAGCCACGCACCUUAUUCUGACCGGCGCAGUAGCCGAAUUUCCUGAAUUUUGGACUUUGUAAUAAUACGCCCGAGAUCCUCUGAAAAUAUUAGGUCCAUGCUCUACCACUUUCUACAUGCGACAAAAAAUAAACAGAUUCAAGGUCUCAAAUGCCCUUUGGGCUGUAAUCUCCUCUAUUCUCAUCAACAAUUAUUGAGAUCACCGAAGGAUCACCGGAUACACAGCACUCAAUAUGGAUGAUGGACAGAUCUACUUCAACUUUGUUUGAUUUAUAAAUCCUAUAAUGAGUUAUAAUUCCUCUUUGGAUCAUGGAGCUUUAAUAAGUCGAUUUAACAUCUGUUCGGUGUAAAUGACUCUGGCAGUGCAGAAGACUUUAGAUGUUGAAUACAGAUCAUACUUUUAUAUCAGUGAAAUAUCAUGUACGUAAAACAGGUCAUGAUAGGUCAUUGCCUUGAAAAGGCGUUACACGUCACUCCAAUCAAAAUGGAGGUUAUAAUUUCAAUUUUGAUUCUGGACUUUCAGCUGUUGUCUCUAAUAUUUAAAUGUCUGAAGACUAUAUUAUAGUAAAGAAGAUUAAGCGGUCUGAUAAUUCACCAGUUGUGAACGAGGAUCAACACUGUCACCUAGAACUAUAUAAACUUCACUAGCGUAUAAUGUAUAGAUUUUACCCAGGCAGUUUGUAUACCAGAGAACUUAGAUAAAAAAGUCUGCGUUGACUUUUAAAUACUAACGAUUAGUUGCCUGUACGAAUACGACAUUCUGUGCUGAGUAUAGGUAACUGUCGCUAUUUCUGGUAUCCAAAUUCAGUAAGAGAGAGAGAGAGCAAUACAGUUGCCAAAGUAUUAAAAGAUCCCUGUUCUUCUCCUCUUUCAGGGAUUAGAUAUUGAUCCAAUGUACGCUUGGUAAAGUCAACGAAUAAUAUUUGUUGCCUGACACCUGUUUACAUACAAUUUGACGUACAUUCUACAUGUAUAAUGGUUGACUAUUCUUGCAUUAGAAAUAGAUCCAACCAAAUGCAGCACCUAAUCAAUUCUUUGGUUGAGUGGACAAUUAUUUUCAAUUCAUAGUUUGAUAGCCUGGUUGAUGUCCAUAUUCAAGGGUCACGGUCAGACUGAUUGUCUUUGCAUUAUUAGUGCGAUGUGAUUCCAAAUGGAACGCUACUUGUAUUCUUAUUGUUAGAUAAAGUGAAUUUAUGCUGUUCCUUAAGAGGAAAGUAUGGACGUAAUGGACAGUUUCCUAAGACAUACUGGGCAAUAUUGAUGUU